AUUGAACGCUGGCGGCAGGCCUAACACAUGCAAGUCGAACGGCAGCACAGAAGAGCUUGCUCUUUGGGUGGCGAGUGGCGGACGGGUGAGUAAUGUCUGGGAAACUGCCCGAUGGAGGGGGAUAACUACUGGAAACGGUAGCUAAUACCGCAUAACGUCGCAAGACCAAAGUGGGGGACCUUCGGGCCCCACACCAUCGGAUGUGCCCAGAUGGGAUUAGCUAGUAGGUGGGGUAAUGGCUCACCUAGGCGACGAUCCCUAGCUGGUCUGGGAGGAUGACCAGCCACACUGGAACUGAGACCAGGUCCAGACUCCUACGGGAGGCAGCAGUGGGGAAUAGUGCACAAUGGGCGCAAGCCUGAUGCAGCCAUGCCGCGUGUAGGAAGAAGGCCUUCGGGUUGUAAAGUACUUUCAGCGGGGAGGAAGGCGGUGAGGUUAAUAACCUUGCCGAUUGACGUUACCCGCAGAAGAAGCACCGGCUAACUCCGUGCCAGCCGCCGCCGUAA
rnacentral:rRNA from 1 species